GACGAACGCUGGAGGCGUGCUUAACACAUGCAAGUCGAACGAUGAAAUGGAGCUUGCUCCAUGGAUUAGUGGCGAACGGGUGAGUAACACGUGAAUAACCUGCCCUUAAUUUUGGAAUAACCCAGGGAAACCUGGGCUAAUACCGGAUAAGUAAACCUGUGGCAUCACAUGGUUUUGGAAAGUUUUUCGAUUAAGGAUGGAUUCGCGGCCUAUCAGCUUGUUGGUGAGGUAAUGGCUCACCAAGGCGACGACGGGUAGCCGGCCUGAGAGGGUGAACGGCCACACUGGGACUGAGACACGGCCCAGACUCCUACGGGAGGCAGCAGUGGGGAAUAUUGCGCAAUGGACGAAAGUCUGACGCAGCGACGCCUCGUGAGGGACGAAGGUCUUCGGAUUGUAAACCUCUUUCAGCAGGGACGAAGCGAAAGUGACGGUACCUGCAGAAGAAGCACCGGCUAACUAUGUGCCAGCAGCCGCAGUAA
rnacentral:rRNA from 1 species